UUCUGUUCCGUCCACCUCGUUGUUGACAAACAGGUUCAACACGUCACAAAGUCAAACUAAGGUUUCCGUUCAAACAUGAAACUAAAUCAUACAAGUGGAGCUGAGAGGUCUGCAGCUGAAGAACGAAGCUUCACUGCAGCUGCUCCUCAUAUUCAACUUUCCUUUUCCAUGAAGAGGAGGAGAAUGGGAGGAAGCCGGAGGGAGGAGGUGAGGUCAGAGGAAAGGUCGGAGCAGGAAGCUGUGAGAGUUUCUUCCUGCUGCGCAGCACUGACACAUCAUCACAGUCAUUACUCCACCCGUCAGUCAACGGGUUCAAAGGACGGAUCUUCACCUCUGAAUGUUCUCAUCUGCUGAUCAGCAGGAUUAUUCCCAACUGGACAGAUUCCCAUUACACUCACUGGGUUUAAUGGGUCAGAGACGAACUCGGUAAAUUUCAGUGUGGAUCAAAUCAUUAUUUUUCACUUUCUUUGUGAGAUUUAAACUUUCACUGAUUUCUUAGACGUAUUCAGAGACUGAUAUUUAUGAGUGUGGUGUCGGUGGAGAUUCGAGCUCUGAUGAGCGACGUCGCUCCACUGGACACGGAUUCAUUCUUAUGGCAACGGACGUGUGUUUGAAUAUUCAACUGAAAAUAAAGAUGGACGACAUGAGAGCUCCUUGAGAGGGAAGCCAAAUAACCUGGAUCGCCUCCUGGUGGCUGGCUGCAGUACAUGUCAUUGACCCUGCCUCCUCCAUGUUAGCAGAUGGGACACUGACCAUUUCAGGUCGUUCUUGUCUCACUGAUGUUUGCUCAAGUGUUUCCGAUCAGUUUGGUUUGAAUCAGUUAUUUGAUGAUAUAAAAACAGCCAUGAUUGACAGCUGAGACCGCCUCAGGAUUGGCUGAGAGCAUGUGUGGGCGGGACCUUGACACAGAGGCUCCACUUCACGAUCACUACACAAGAUGGCAGCGUUGGUAUCACAGAUAUUUCCGUUUGAUUUCCGUCUUUAUUUACGAUGAAUUAAAGGAUUGUUUGACACCGAGAAUCUGCAGCAGAAACAAACUAACAAACAAAGUGGCUUCAUUAUCCUGUUUUAUUCAAGACAUCUCAGACGUGCUGCCAGACACAUUCUCUCUCUCUCUCUCACACACACACACACAGACAGACACACACAGUGGUAUGGUAGGCACACUGUAGUGAGGAGCUCAGACAGGAGGCACUUCUGAACAUUUGAUGCUUUUUGUUUCUCAGGUUGAGUGUGAAGCUGCGGCUGCAUCACAUCUUGAUGACCUCCGCACUGUGCACGUACGUGACUUCACGCCCAGGAGUCAUCUGAGCAGCUACAGGAGCCCACAGCGACCACAUCUCUUCACGUUUACGUUAUUACAUGACAAAAAGAUCAUUAAAGUAAAGCUGCAGUGUAAAACGUCGGGUCGAGGUGAUGAGGCCACAGUUCAACAGACUUUUGAUUUGAGUUCAAACUUCACUCAGGAACAGAAAAUCAGAUCCGUUUCCUUUCGUUAACGAUACAUCAUCAGCGUUCCUGUGUUUAACCACAGAGGGAAGUAAUAAAAACAACUAUCAUUGGACAACUUGAAAUCAAUUCUGACGUCUAUGAUUAUCAUUUCAUCAGAUGUAAAAGAACACAGAUCGUCUCCAUGUUUACAUUUAGUUUGUUAUCCGGUGACGUGACAAGUUGAGAAAAAGCAGCGAGAACCUUGGAAAGGGAAACUGAACGCAGCGAGUCGUCCCCUCGAUGUCACGUCAGAGGAAACCGUCACUCGCGUUACGGCCAGGAGAUCGUUUACCCUCUGGUUCAUGGAGACCUUAUUUCAUCAUUUAAGUUUCACCAGAUUUCCAGAGGGAAAUUCCGUCUAGACAAUAAAACCUGAUUUUCUGUUCUGUCAUUUGAGAGGAAACAAAAAGCUCAUGAAGGUUCAAUAAAAGUAGGAGGGAGAAGAUCAACAGUAGUUUGAGUCGACAGCUGAGAUUCAUGCUUCAUGUUCUACAUUUAUAAAAAAAAAAAAAACUUCACCGUCUCUGAAUCACCACGUAAGAUUUGUUUAAAGAGGAAAAAAUGAAAUUAAAGCGUUAAAUUCCCAAAUUAAAACCCAUUUAACUUUGGUAACGACAGGAAGUAGUUGAGAGUUUUGAUUCUUUCACAGUUUGAAUCUCGUUUAUCUGAAUUUAAUUCUUUAAUUUCACCUUUUCAUUAAACUCUGUUCAGCUUCCUUCAGACCUCAAAGACACAAAGUCCAGAAAAUAAUUUGUCUCAAGUAUAAAAAUGAAAGAAUCUUUUACAUCCGCAGGUUUUCAGUUUUCACCACAGCGACUGAGAACGUCUGGAGAACAUCUGGAGAACGUCUGGAGAACCCCUUGGAUUCUUUGAGAUUGUUCCGUUCCCUCAAACCCAGAAUACGAUGAAAUGUUCUCUUCAGCUCCAGCGUCGCAGCUCGCUCG